UACGUAGGGUGCGAGCGUUAAUCGGAAUUACUGGGCGUAAAGCGUGCGCAGGCGGUUCGUUAAGUCAGCUGUGAAAGCCCCCGGGCUUAACCUGGGAAUGGCGGUUGAAACUGGCGAACUUGAAUCUGGCAGAGGGGGGGUGGAAUUCCACGUGUAGCAGUGAAAUGCGCAGAUAUCGGGAGGAACACCAAUUGCGAAGGCAGCUCGCUGGACGUCGACUGACGCUAAGACGCGAAAGCGUGGGAGCAACAGG
rnacentral:rRNA from 1 species